rnacentral:misc_RNA from 1 species
UAUAUUUACUUUUUCCUAUCCUCUCUUCUUUUGGCCCCCAAAAGGAAAUUGCACUUGCACAUUUGUCUCUUGUCCAUAUAUAUGUUAUGCGUUUGACGCUCCACAAUUUUACUCUGUCAUGGCUGAUUUGAAGUCUUUAGAACAUCCCACCCUCAAGGUGCCAUAUGAAGUCCUGAAUAAGAAAUUUCGUGCUGGACAAAAAACUGUCGACAGGGAAGUGUCUCAUGUCCAAAUUUCGAUCUCUGAACUAGAAAAGAGCUUAUUUCGAACACCUGUUCAAGUGGAUCAAAUAUGCAGUCUUAUUGGAGCAACUGUUGAGAAACUACAAACAAUGAAACGAAAGGUUGAAGAAGCCAUCAGUGAUGAGUUAGAAGCAGCUCAGAACUGUAAAAGAAGGGUAGAACACCUUAAAUUGGGGGCUGUUGGAAUUAUCCCAACGACUGAUUCUUCCAUCACAUAUUCGCUCUGGAAAAAAACACGGGUAGAGAGGUAUCUGGUUGAACAUCUUCUGAGAGCUGGGCAUUACAACACUGCCCAGAAAAUGGUGGAACAAAAUCCUGAACUUGCAGAGCUUACUAAUUUGGAUAUCUUUUUGGUUGCCCGAAAUGUUGAAUUGACACUGGCCCAGCAGCAGACUCAAGCUGCCUUAGCAUGGAUCCAUGAUCACAAGAGCAAACUAAGAAAAAUAAAAUCCACUUUGGAAUUUCAUCUCAGACAACAAGAAUUCGUCGAACUCAUAAGGUCCGAUCGUCGAAUGGACGCCGUGCGCCAUGCCCGAAAGUACUUGACCAGUAUGGACGACGUUCCACUGGAGGAACUUCAACAUGCGCUGGCCCUUCUUGCGUUUCCUUCAGACACUCAGUUAUCACCCUACAAAGAAAUGCUUGAUAUGUCCCGGUGGGUUGCUUUGACAGAAGAAUUCCGCCAAGAUUAUUUCCGCCUGUAUCAGUUGGCUCCGUUAUCCGUCUUGGCAGUUGCCUUGCAGGCCGGACUCUCCGCCAUGAAAACUCCUGUUAUCGUCCCGUGGACCAGAGAAAUGCCGAAUGUCCUGUUUGCCAAGAACCUUUGAAUAAGUUGGCUGAACGUUUACCUCACGCCCACUGCUCACAGUCACGAUUGAUCUGUCGCCUUUCUGGUUUGCCCCUCAACGAACAUAAUUUGCCUAUGAUGCUACCCAAUGGUCGCGUUUACGGAGAACAGGCCUUACGAAAUAUGGCAAUGAGCAACAACGGGAUGGUAACCUGUCCACGCACAAAAGAGGUCUUCGCCAUCAAGGAUGCAGAGAAAGUCUAUGUCAUGUAGUUAUUUUGAUUCCCCUUUCUAAUACAAAAUUCUGAAGUA